CACAGCUCAGGUCUUCUGUUGAAAAAUUCGGAUGGUCAAAGUUUAAACAGUCUUCUGUGAGCUGCAUUCUUCAUCUGUAUUGGAAGUAGAAACUGAGAAUUCUCACUCUCUCCUGUACACUGGAAAUAUAAGACUUUCCACUCUUCAAAGCGCAGUACUUAUUGGGUUGCCUGAUUCUGUGUGCCCAUAUAUAUUGAUCUUAAAAUGUGUAUGUCUUACAAUUUUUGUGAACAUGAUUAGAUAUGAAUUUAUUUAAGCUACGUUCUCAUCUGAUGUUGAUCACAAAAGAAGUCAGCAGUUUUCAGCUCAGAGCUCUGAGUUCUUCUGAACAAAAAGAAGGACAGGAACAAUGUCAGAAAUGCAGAAAGUAUUAAAGAUAAAUGUCAGUGUAAUAGUCCUGAAUAUCUGCUGGCAGGCAACAGUGACUUUAAUGGAACAUUGAUAUAAAGGAAGGUUAUGAAGUUUCUUGCCUGAUUUUUCUUUUCUCCUAGACAGAAGCAGCAGAUGAAAAAUGAAGUUUCUCAGCUGUAUUAACCAUUGGUCUUUGUGCAUAGCGGAGAUGUAUUUUACCAGGCUGUUUCAGUUGUAGUCCUAAAUCAACUUUGUUCUGUUGAUAAAAGCAAACCUAGAAUCAGGAUUUCAUUCUGUGACAGUUAGAAGGAAAUGAAGAAAUGAAGAAAAGAGGAGGAGAAUAUUCCAAAACAUCUAUAUCUAGCAUAGAGCCGAUAAAAAGGACCAUCAGCCAUGUGCACUCUGAGCUUACCUCCCUGCUGCACUGCAGCCGCUGCUGGGGACUGGGUACAGGCCCCCAGGGCUGGAGGGGCCCAUCUCAGGGGCCUGUGUGA
rnacentral:lncRNA from 1 species